GAUGAACGCUGGCGGCGUGCUUAACACAUGCAAGUCGAACGGAAAGGCCCAAGCUUGCUUGGGUACUCGAGUGGCGAACGGGUGAGUAACACGUGGGUGAUCUGCCCUGCACUUCGGGGUAAGCCUGGGAAACUGGGUCUAAUACCGGAUAGGACGAUGGUUUGGAUGCCAUUCUGGAAAGUUUUUUCGGUGUGGGAUGUGCUCGGGGCCUAUAAGGUUUUUGUUGGGGUAAUGGCCUAGCAAGGCGUAGACGGGUAGCCGGCCCGAGAGGGUGUACGGCCGGACUAGACCCGUGAGACAGGCCGCAGUGGUGAAUGAGGGAGAAGGGGGGAAUAUUUGACACAGGGAGAAAGCGUGAGGGAGGGAGGCCGCGGGGUGGAAGACGGCUUUCGGGUGGUAAGAACCGCUCGCUAGGGACGAAGCGCUGUUGUGACGGUACCUGGAGAAGAAGCACCGGCUAACUACGUG
rnacentral:rRNA from 1 species